AACGAGGCCGACCUGCGGCUGAGUUACCUGCGGAGGGAUCAUUACCGAGUUUACAACUCCCAAACCCCUGUGAACAUACCACUUGUUGCCUCGGCGGAUCAGCCCGCUCCCGGUAAAACGGGACGGCCCGCCAGAGGACCCCUAAACUCUGUUUCUAUAUGUAACUUCUGAGUAAAACCAUAAAUAAAUCAAAACUUUCAGCAACGGAUCU
rnacentral:misc_RNA from 1 species